rnacentral:rRNA from 1 species
UACGAAGGGGGCUAGCGUUGCUCGGAUUGACUGGGCGUAAAGGGCGCGUAGGCGGCUUGUACAGUCAGACGUGAAAUUCCUGGGCUCAACCUGGGGGCUGCGUUUGAUACGUAUGGGCUUGAGUUCGGAAGAGGGUCGUGGAAUUCCCAGUGUAGAGGUGAAAUUCGUAGAUAUUGGGAAGAACACCGGUGGCGAAGGCGGCGACCUGGUCCGAUACUGACGCUGAGGCGCGAAAGCGUGGGGAGCAAACAGGG